rnacentral:rRNA from 1 species
GGCAGCCGCUCGAGCUUCUCCCAGCCAGCCAUGAAGCCGGCGGGCAUGGCCGAGUACCACCAGCACCCGGCCUCGCCGCGCGCGGCCCAGCGCCGGCGCCUCGUCUUCGUGCUGGCCCCGCUGCUGCUCUUCCUCGCCGCCGCGCUCUCCUUCCCCUCCGCGCUCCGCCUCCCCGCCCUGCGCUUCCCGCCGCGCGUGCCCCCGGCGGCGUCACACCACCGUCGUUCCCCGGCGCGCCGAGGGCGCGUGGCGGUGUGCCUGGUGGGCGGGGCGCGGCGGUUCGAGCUGACGGGCCCGUCCAUCGCGCGGCACGUGCUGGGCUCCCCGGCGCUCGACGGCCGCGCGGUCGACGUGUUCCUGCACAGCCCGCUCGACGCCGACGCCUACAAGUUCUCCCUCCUGGCGCGCGCCGUCGGCAGGGAGACGGACACGGCGACGAGGCUGGCCGCCGUGCGCGUGUUCCGGCCGGAGCCCGUGGAGGAGACCCCCGACCGCGCCCGCGUGCUCACCGCCGCCAACUCCCCCAACGGCAUCCAGGGCCUGCUGCAGUACUUCGGCCUGGUGGAGGGCUGCCUGGACCUCAUCCGGGAGCGCGAGUCCUGGGGCAACUUCACGUACGCCUGGGUCCUCCGCACCCGCGUCGACGGCUACUGGACGGCGCCGCUGGCCGCCGCCGACGCCCUCCCGCGCUCCGACGCCGUCUACGUCGUCCCGGAGGGCUCCUCGUUCGGCGGCCUCAACGACCGGCUGGGCUCCGGGCGCCGGCAGGCGUCGGCGGCCGCGCUGUCCCGCGUCUCCAUGCUGCCCCACCUCGACGCCGCCGGGUACCGGGACCUCAACUCGGAGGCGUCGUUCAAGGCGCAGCUGGAGGUGGCCGGGGUGAAGCCGCGGGAGCGGCGGAUGCCCUUCUGCGUGCUCAGCGACCGGCGCUACGACUUCCCGCCGAACGGGUUCGGCGUGCCCGUGGCGUCGAUCGGGAGCCCCGGCCCGCUCAGCGGCGCCAAGUGUCGCCCGUGCCGCCGCCCCGUGGCCUGCGGCCCCGGGGACGACGACGAGGAGGAGGAGUGCGCGGUGGCGCGGCUGGACCGCGGCUGGAGCUGGACCGAGUGGCGGAACGGGACGCUGGAGCUGUGCGACGCGAGCGGGCCGUGGGAGCGCGGGUGGGAGGAGGUGUUCGACAAGGCCGCCGGCGAGGAGGCGGCCGCGGAGCGGCGGAGGGUCGCCGGGAUGGGGCUCGAGGUGUGCAAGGCGGAGAUGGAGGCGCUCAGGGCGCGGACCGAACACUGGGACGCGCCGAGCUCCGACGAGAUCUGCCGCCUCGGGCUCGCGCCGGCGAGCCGCUCCGACUCGUCCUCGUCCUCCUCUUCUUAUUCCUCCGCAGACAGAGACAGUAAACAUCAGCUAAUCGAACAGCCCUAG